AAAGUAUCCCUCCUUGUAGGAUCCACAGCUGUAUUCAUUCUGAUAAAAAUCAUAAAGCCGGGCAGGCGUGCUCUGGCUGGGUCAAUAUCCAGUUUGAAUAGCUAUUACGCUACGUGCGACAAUGGAUGUUAAUAUCAUCAAGGUGUACCGCUUCGCUUCUGUCAUUGUGUUCAUCCCAAGACAAAGCUUCUGUUGCUCCGCCGGCCUGCAGACAGAGCAACUUUUGUCAAACCAGUGCAGAUGGGUUCAUGGGAAACAAUGAGUGACCAGAGGAGGGAUUUAAUCAACCAUCAGGAGACGCUCCACCGGAAUGUUGAAGAGGGAACAAUCACCGUUUACAGCAGAAGCAAUUAAAUUUAUAAUUCUUUAUAUGUGAGGAGCAAUAUAGCACCGACAAGGUUCCAGCUGAGUUCUGGCUAGAAUAGUAAAAUAUAACUGGUGUUUAAAGCUUCAGGCGUUGAGUUUGGAAACUCUGAUUGCAGUUUCCUGGGUUCGGCUCUCAGUGGGAUCCGUCGCUGUGAAGCUCAUUACGGUAAAACGAACAGAGCGAUAGAGGGAUCUGUUUGUAACGGAACUGUGUCUUUACAAAGAAGACUGGGGCUUAAUUUCCAAUGUGUUGAGAUCCAUUCUGAAGUCAACUUAAAGACUUAAAGGGGAUGCCUGUUUGUACAGUCACUUGCUUUAUAUUUUCACUAACUGUCAUAACUUUAUAGCCAUGCUAUAUACGAACACCAUCUGUCACUAACAGGAGGCAUGCUGUGUUGUGAGCCAUGCUGUGCUAAUUUUCUUUACAUUAAAAGUACAAAAAGAGCAUGUGAGAGAUGUUACUGCAGCCCAAUAAGGUGUUUGCAUGUCUGACUGGGUUUUCACGGUUAUUGGCGAUAUAAUAAUAUAAUAUUGUGUUUACCAACCUAAGAUACCUCUGUAUUUUUUUUUUUUUACAUCCUGUAGUUAAAAGUGCUGGACCUUUCUCAUAAUUGUUGCUAGGCAACUAAACUAGAGAACAACUUCCCAACCAAAAGUCUCGAUAGUCAAACUAAUUUCCCUUCUGGUGUGUUGUUUCUUGUUCAAAGCAUGUACAUUUAAAUUAGCAGAGUUAAUUACCUCAGGUAGCCCAAAACAGCCAGAGUUUAUUCUACACUCGCUGCGACACGCCUUCUUCCUUUUUUUUCCCGUUUCUGGCAUUUGCUACCUCACUUUAAAGGGUUUUUUAGACGGAUGUACACUUUGUUUCUCCUUGUAAUAGCGGUGACAAUUUCCCUUAAACUUGA
rnacentral:lncRNA from 1 species